GGGUGGAUAACUAUUAUGAAAAGUGAGAUCCAACUGGACUAGUACCCAGAGAUGUGCAAAUUUGAGUGAAAUUUGGGGCCCCCUCCUGGCCAAUGUGGUUUUCGCAUCUUUAACUCCCGCAGCUGUCCAGGUUGUAUCCCUUUCUGUCCCUGGCUGACCUCUGGCAGAGACAAGCAGGAGGGCGUGGAACUGAUAACCUGCCAAUCUACAGACUGAUCACCAUGGUCCUCCACUGAAGGUCCUGGUGUCAGAAGUUCUGCAGUGGAAAACAAGAGGUGACAACAGGCUGGACUAGGAUGAUGGUCUUGGAUGGAGCAAAGGGAAUUUUAGAAGGUAUAGAUCCAAGAGAAAUCAAUGCAUAUGUCCACCAAAAAAUGUAUGAAAAUAUUUACAGCAGCAUUAUUCAUAAUAACUCAAAACUGAAAGCCACCCUAAUGUCCACCAAGGCUGAGUGGAUUAAUAAAUGAUUACAUUCAUACAACAGAAUACUGUAUACCAAUGAUAAAGAACAAACAAUUGUUACACGCAACGACCUGGAUAAAGCUGACAGACACAAUACUGAGCAAAAAAGACAGACCCUUAGGGUACGUACUGUAUGAUUUCAUUUACAUAAAGUUCCAAACAGCCAAAAUUAAUUGAUGGCACUAGAGGUCAUCUAAGCGGUUACCUCUGCGAAGUUUGAACUGGGAGGAGCCACAAAGAAGUGUGGGGUGCUGGGAACGAUCUCCAUCUUGAUCUGGGUGGAGGUUUUAAGCUUAUGUGCCAGCGUUGAGUAUGUAUAGCAUACCCUGCUAGGCACUGAAUGUCUCUGUCUCCCCGAACUUCAUGUGUUGAAACCCUAAUCUCCAAUGUGAUGGUAUUUGGAGAUGGGGACUUUGAGAGGUAAUUAGGUCACGAGGGUGAUGCCCUCCUGAUGGCAUUAGUGUCCUUAUAAGAAGAGACACAUGAGAGCUUGUUUCCUCUUCCGACCCCCAUGUGAGGAAACCAGAAAGAGGGCCCUCACUAGAAAUUAUCCAUGUUG